UGAAUACGAAAACUAUAAAUGGCAAUACUCAGUAUGCCAUGGCUGCCUAAUCAGUGAUUAAGUAGUCAUUAGGGCCGCCGGGCCGGUUCGCUUGUUUCCAUGCCCCGCCGCCGACUCAAAACAAAACAAGAUGCAGCGGGUUCAGGCUGUGCCACCCGAUCAAGUAAUAUUCAGCUAAGGAGGUAAUCGGUUGCCCGUUUCCAGUUGCUUCCCGACAAUACAAAACAGGAUAAACAUGUAGAAAGCUUUUGAAGAAUAUGUUUGGACAGGAGUUCGAUUCUCCUCGCCUCCACUU
rnacentral:tmRNA from 1 species